AACCCGUUGGUCGUGGUACCCCUCCAUUAUUUUGGCCAAACGUCGUCCACCAGCCUCCCAUCCAUGGAUCCACCAGCAGCGGUGCAAACCUCCUUCCCACCGGCGUCGGCGAGCCUCCCCUCACUGGCCGCGGCGGGCCUCGCCCAGCCCCCACCGGCAGCAGCACGAUCAGGUCAGCGCGCUCGGUGGCGCUCCUCCUCUAGCAGAUCCAGCCGUGAGUGGCUCGCCUCGUGCAGGUGCGGCCCGUUGGUGGUGCGGCUCCACCACAAGGCAACAACGGCAGUUGCCCCUCAACCUUCCCCAGCGGAUCCACCGCACAAGGCUCGUCCCCUUCAUUAAUAUGGCGUUAGGGCUCCGUCCCACCUCUGAUGGCGGCUCCGGCAUCGGCGGGCAGGCAGCCUUUGGCUGGCGGCGUGGCCAUUAGCGACUGCGGAUAGAUCUGGUGGCGCUGACCCUCUCCCUUGAUCGACGUUGGCCUUCCUCCCUCUGGCUAUGACAGUGACCCUUCCUAUGCCAUGGUCUUUUUGAUCUGCCAUGGUCUUUUUGAUGCAGGUGCCUUCCUAUGCUGUCAUGUGGCUGCAGCAAGCGUAGAGAUUGAUGUUCCACAAUCAUAGUUCGUGCCAACAAAUUUUAAUGUUUUCUGCUGCCUAUAUAUAUCUCGACUUUCUGUGCCGGGCGUAGAGAUUGGGAAUCUAGCUGCAGAGAGUCAGAGUUGGAGCAGCAAAGGUUUCUGUGCAAUAUAUUUUGUGAUUUUUAAGCUUCUUGAGCCAGCAACAUAUGUAUUCGUACUCACAGUAAACAUGUAUGUACUCAUACUCCAUAUAACCAUGUAUAUGGUUUCAUACUCACAAGAUGUAUAUACUCAUACUCCCAAUGUAUAUGUAUGUGCUCAUACUUCUUUUGUCUAGUUUGAUGCUUCUAUGCUGACGGUAAUACAUAAAAGAAAAUUACCAUGCAGGCA